GAUGAAGGGAGGAGCUAGGCCAAGGAGAAUGGGUUUCUAACACUUGAAUAGAGGAGCUUUUCUCCCCUGACGAAUGGGUUAGGGGUCCCCGGAGGCGUCGGCUCCUUGACUUUCAGCCACCUUCCCACUCCUCAUCUGUCUCAGGAACCUGUUUCGGUUCUCUGUCCUGGAAGACUGCUCAUGCUCACUAAUGUAACAUUGCCACCAUGAAGCCUCAGUAUCAGCAGGCGUGUCCACGGCCCAGGAGGCAAACCCAGACCUUCACCAAUACCCCAGCAGGUGUCCGCUUAUGCAGUCGUGUCUAGGGCUGUCCGCAGGGGUAUCAUUGAAGUCCUUCAAUAUGAGGCUGAAAACAACUGUAACGAUAACAAAUCUAACAAAUGACGCAGGUUAUUGAAAACACCCAACAUUCCAAUGGCGCUUUGGGCAGCAGUACCAGUGAGGUUGGAGACUUGAGAACUCAUUGGAAAUCGUUCCCCUCUGACGAGGAUCACAUUAAGCGUUAUAGAUGGUAAGCAGCAGCAGGAUAGGAACAUUUGACUUUUGGAGUGUACAUUUUGCAUCAACCUCGCCUGUGACAGCGGCCACAUCAGAUUAAAGGCUUUACUGUAUCAUUAAAAUAGUGCCAUCUAGUGGUGGACAUUUCAAACUGUAGCUAGGUGUCCUAAGGGUUGUCACAAACCCUCAAGGGGUCUGUGCCCAUGUAUAUGUGAUAUGUAUGUGUAUAUAUAAUUAUAAUUUAUAAUUUAUAAAGGUAUAUUUACUUAUGUAUCUAUUCCAUCACCAAAUUUAUUUGCCAAUUAUUCCAGAAUGGGCCUCUUGAUGGGGGGUUGUAUUCAAGGAGUAAGGAAGGCUGCUCUGAUCUCCAGGGGUUUAAAGUCUAGAUCUUUGUAAUCCAGAGUUAAUGGCUCUGACACAAGAACGUGGGGGCAUCCAGGAGACUCCAGUGUCCAAAGCUUUAGUGGCAUUGUUGGAAGUCCUACCUACAUAUAAAGACGCACCAUGCUUGGAAGCAUGGAAGUCAGGAAGAGGCCACCGAGAUGUGCCAUCUAUUUGAGCUAGCACAGAAUUCCUGGACUUCUAAGGUCUCCUUUGGGGUCUCUGAAUGUCUCUGGCCCUGGGUCUAAGUCAGGAACCAGCAUGAGCUUGAGGUUCACUCUAGAGUUCUCUUUCUUUAGUGGAGUUGCCUGCUGGCCCUUCUAGGAUGCAGCUAGCCGAACAUGAUGGUGCUUUGAAAGCCUUGAAUGUUUCUCAGAAAAACAAUACAUUUUAUGUUCCUU
rnacentral:lncRNA from 1 species